AACGAACGCUGGCGGCAUGCCUAACACAUGCCAGUCGAACGAGACCUUCGGGUCUAGUGGCGCACGGGUGCGUAACGCGUGGGAACCUACCCUUGGGUUCGGAAUCACUCCCCGACAGGGGUGCUAAUACCGGAUAAUGUCUUCGGACCAAAGAUUUCUCGCCUUUGGAUGGGCCCGCGUUGGAUUCGCUAGUUGGUAGGGUAAACGCCUACCAAGGCGACGAUCCAUAGCUGGUCUGAGAGGAUGACCAGACACGCUGGGACUGAGACACGGCCCAGACUCGUACGGGAGGAGGCAGUGGGGAAGAUUGGACAACGGGCGAAUGACGGAUCCAGCAAGGCUGCGUGAGGGAUGAAGGCCGGAGGGUUGUAAAGCUCGUUUACCCGGGAUGAUAAUGACAGUACAGGGAGAAUAAGCUCCGGCUAACUCCGUG
rnacentral:rRNA from 1 species